AUUGAACGCUGGCGGCAGGCCUAACACAUGCAAGUCGAGCGGAUGAAGGGAGCUUGCUCCUGGAUUCAGCGGCGGACGGGUGAGUAAUGCCUAGGAAUCUGCCUGGUAGUGGGGGAUAACGUCCGGAAACGGGCGCUAAUACCGCAUACGUCCUGAGGGAGAAAGUGGGGGUUCUUCGGACCUCACGCUAUCAGAUGAGCCUAGGUCGGAUUAGCUAGUUGGUGGGGUAAAGGCCUACCAAGGCGACGAUCCGUAACUGGUCUGAGAGGAUGAUCAGUCACACUGGAACUGAGACACGGUCCAGACUCCUACGGGAGGCAGCAGUGGGGAAUAUUGGACAAUGGGCGAAAGCCUGAUCCAGCCAUGCCGCGUGUGUGAAGAAGGUCUUCGGAUUGUAAAGCACUUUAAGUUGGGAGGAAGGGCAGUAAGUUAAUACCUUGCUGUUUUGACGGUACCAACAGAAUAAGCACCGGCUAACUUCGUG
rnacentral:rRNA from 1 species